CGACACCGCGCCGAGCCACCUCCGUCCGGUUUUCUCUCCUACCGGUUCCUCUUUGAAGGUUUUUUCCCUACCCCAGCUCGUAACAGGUCGCCCACAUCCACGAUCCCGCGGCCCUGCCUUCCGCCGGCCCUGCGCCGACCGCUCCGAUCUCGCGAUCCUGCGUCCCGCCGGCGACCCGUGCCCCGCCCCACGCCGUCCCGGUGAGGUUCUGCGCCGACCGCUCCCGUCCCACCCCUGCGUCGCCGGCUCCCGCGACUCCCUGCGCCGCCGGCUCCCGUCACGCCUACGCCGCCGAUUCCCCUGGUGUUCGUCGUCACCAGCAAGAUUAAUUGUCGCACGACGACUGGGGCCACCUCCAUCUGCUGCGGCAGGUGUGGCGUGGCACAUUUGGGCAUGAGGGGAGGAUGCUGUCAUGAGACGUAGCCGUUGCCAAGUACGUCAGGUUGCCACCACCACGAAAGUCGCAGUAGCCGAAGACAACGGCUGUGAACUAGGCUGGUGAAAUGCUUACGGUAUCCCCGAUUGGCUUCGUGUAGUCGUGUUUAAUACGGAAAUUGUGAGUUGCUGUUUCUGCAGUGAUGAUGGAAUCGGUCCUGCUGCCAUCUUGUCAAGCCCAUUCUGACUGUAACAAGCUGCAGGAGAUUUGGAUUUCAGGAAGUAAAAUUGCAAGAGAGCAAGGAGCUCGCUGCUGGCGCAUCUCAGAGGGAGGAGCAAGGCUCUGUGGCCAUUGCAAGGUUGAUGACAAUGGCAAGCACAGCAGGGGUCGGCUGCCCAGGAAACAGAUUGUGCCAGCAAAAACUUAUUCCUUGAGUUGCAAAAUCGCUGUGUUGUAUUAGUAUUCGGUUCAAGCGAAAUGCAGAACUUAUUGACCCUGUUCUCUUCGUGGCUGCUGUCUCUUUGAUUCCAGGUUGUAAACUGUAGUGAUGUAUUUCCUCAGGGGUGAAAGUUUAGCCUGCUUCAUUAAAAAUAUUACAUUGUGUUUUUAUGAUCCAACAUAUUAUUAGUUAUAUCCAGGUUCGAUUUGUCUCA